rnacentral:snoRNA from 1 species
AAACCAUGAUGAGGACACUCUAAAAUAAGAUCUUUUAAUCGUUGCAUACAUCAAAGGAAUGAUUCAUUAGGUCGCUGGAGAAACUGGAGAAUGUCAUUCCUAAGUUU